AAACUGCGAAAUCUGACCAGAAGCCCUUAGCCUCCCAGGCUCUGUAGCUUCUGCAGUGAUGAGGCCUGGCCACCAGAUGGCUCCACAGAGGCCACUGCUCUCUCAGGGAAGAGGAGGCUGGGAAGAUCCAGGGGAGGACAUGGAAUUGGAUUCUCACCUGGGGAAGCUGUGGUAAGCAUACACAGAGUGGAUGACCACUAACUGUUUGCCCACCCAGCCAUCUGGCACUCUCUCUCUUGGUCUGCUCAGCCUGCACUAGCCCACA
rnacentral:lncRNA from 1 species